rnacentral:rRNA from 1 species
UUGGCGGACGGGUGAGUAACGCGUGGAUCAUCUGCCCAAACGUUCGGGAUAACGGCGGGAAGCUGCCGCUAAUACCGGAUACGCUCCAAUUUCGGUUGGAGGAAAGGCGGCCUCUGCUUGCAAGCUGUCGCAUUUGGAUGAGUCCGCGUCCCAUUAGCUUGUUGGUGGGGUAAUGGCCUACCAAGGCAACGAUGAGUAGCUGGUCUGAGAGGAUGAUCAGCCACACUGGGACUGGAACACGGCCCAGACUCCUACGGGAGGCAGCAGUGGGGAAUAUUGCACAAUGGGCGAAAGCCUGAUGCAGCGACGCCGCGUGAGUGAUGAAGGCCUUCGGGUCGUAAAACUCUGUCCUCAAGGAAGAUAAUGACGGUACUUGAGGAGGAAGCCCCGGCUAACUACGUGCCAGCAGCCGCGGUAAUACGA